rnacentral:rRNA from 13 species
UUGACCUCGAAUCAGGUAGGGAUACCCGCUGAACUUAAGCAUAUCAAUAAGCGG